rnacentral:tRNA from 1 species
CGGGAUGUGGCCCAGGUGGUAGGGCGCCGGUCUUGGGAACCGGAAGCCGGGAGUUCGAGUCUCCCCAUCCCGA